ensembl:lncRNA
GACGGAGACAAGCGCCCGCGCUCAGAGUACCUCUCCAUUUGAUGGGGAGACACAGCCCCUGAUUUCUGGGUGUCUCUGAGCUUCUUUCUGUCCAUCUCCCAAGUAAAAGGAACAACUUGACAGCGAGACUCAGGUUAGCACAUCAAUCACCCUGUCCUGUUCUGGAGGGUAUGUCCCAAACCCCAAAGCUGUCCUAUAGGGGUACCCAGGCCCCUCUCCCCAAGACCCUCACACCAUCAGAUUCCCUCCAGCCGGCCCCAGACAAUGAAUUAGGUGAUCCUGGAAACUCCCUCUCCCUUCUUCUCUCUCUGAUCCCUUUUAUUUGCUGGCCUAAAUCAUUCAUGACUUGCAAUAAAGGCCUCCAUGGCCCCCUCCCAGCCCCCUGCAGAAAAUAUUAUUUAACAGAAAGGUGACAGUUAUGUAAUUUAGUCUCCAUCUCCAUUAUUGAUGAAUUUGACCAUGAAAUAUUUAGGCUCCUCCGUGUUCUGCCGCUCAGGGUCUGACAGUUACAGUGUCACAUUCCAGUUUAUCCUCAUGGAAGAUGUGCCGAUCAGGAAUGCCCUGCCUCACCCACCCAAGGGUACAUCCCCACUCAGCACACACCCCAGCUCUCCCCACUCAGGGAUCCACCCAGCACCAACAAUAGGGUUCUUUUGUCCCCAGGGGUCCACUCUCUCACUUCCCCAUCAGCAAAGUGGCCAGAGUCCAUGGAAAGGGCUGUGAAUUCAAGAUAGUCAGAGACAAAAGGAAAAGAGGAAAGGAGGGAGGGAGAGAGGAAAGCAUUGUGUCUUAAGUAUCUCUAAGUUCUGGCUCUGUGUUAACUCAUUUAAUUCUCCCAUCAACCCCAUAAGGUAGGUUUUAUGAUAAUCCAUUUGCAUUUGAGGAAAUGGAAUCUCAGAGAGGUUAAGACAUUUUCCUAAGGUUACUCAGCUAGCCUGUGGUAGAGCUGAAAUGGGACACCGAUCUAGCUUGCAAACCUCUGUUCUCUUCACUCCACCACAGUGGAAAUAGACUCUGCCAGAAGACAGAUUGUGCCAGAAGACAUGGCUCACUCAACAUAACACAUUUGUUCAGUGACUCCCAGUGCAGUGUUGUUUCUGGAUCAUAGUUCUUAGCUGGGAAUUCCAGAUAGAGUGAGGAAAAGACAGGAAACGAGAGAGAAGACAAAGUUCUCGUCCUCAGAGGAUUGCCAGCCUGAUGGGGGAAACAGGAUCCUUGAGGCGUCAACACUACUAGCAGGAAGCUGCAGCCCAUUCAGCUGGCCCAAGUCGGGGUAGAGCUGUACUAGGGGAAACUGAGGCCUGAACAUCACUGUCCUGCCCUCGAAGCUGGAGAGAAGGACUUUGGGCCUUUGAGCGUGGCACGCCCUCCAGGCUGCUCUGUGAUCCUCUGGGGGUGCUGUGCCUCUGAAAAGUCACUGAGAAGAACUCCUUCCUCCUGGCUCCGCAGGUCGACCGUCUGUCUGUCUGUCCCCAGUUACAGAUGAUUGAUGAGCAGCUCUGGGGAAAGGGCUAAGCAAAGAUGUUAUCUCCGCGUGGAGUCUGGCUUCCGCCUGAUCCAUCAGGAAGCUUUGGAGAAUUAAUCACAGCACAGACUUAGCCCU